CCACCCCUAGGAGUUGUCCUUUGGGUUUCCAAUGCAAACCCAUCCAAGAGAAGUAGAAGAGCCACCGUACCAAGUGGCAUUCAUGCAUGAGACUUUUGGGAGGAAUAGAAGCUUCUCUUUUUAAAGGGGCAAUUGAAAAAAGGUGGGAGGCCUUUUUGCUCUAUUCUUCAUUUUCUUUCCUAAGGGUUUUAGCACACAUAAGUUCUCCCAAGCCCUACAAUUUCUCAUCACUUUCUCAUGACCAAAUGCCACCAUUUCGCUUCUUCUAAGUCAAGAAGUACAAGAAGGAUACCCUACACCAUUCGGCUAGGGAUAGAGUUCAAGAAGAUUUCUUUUGCUAAGUAUAUACAAUUGGAUUUUAAGUUGUGACAGGACUAGAUGACCAAACAGAAGAGGACGGCACUCCCUCCGGAGAGGAUAAUGCCGAAAAUGGAGGUUAACUCUUCCAAGCUUUCGAUCCCAAGCUUUUGGAGUCCAUCGACAAGACCCUCACUGAAGCCUUACAACUCAUUGAUGCACUUAAGUGACUCAGGAACCUAAGAAGGGAUUGGUUCCUCGAUAGAAGGAUUAAGCCAGAAAGGCUUUAGUUUUGGGAUCAAGUGUUAUGAGGGUUUUAUUUUGGAGACAAAAUUAUAUUUUGGAUGGUCCCUUGU